GAUGAAGAACGUAGCAAAAUGCGAUAAGUAAUGUGAAUUGCAGAAUUCAGUGAAUCAUCGAAUCUUUGAACGCACAUUGCGCCCGCCAGUAUUCUGGCGGGCAUGCCUGUUCGAGCGUCAUUUCAACCCUCAAGCACAGCUUGGUGUUGGGACUCGCGUUAAUUCGCGUUCCCCAAAUUGAUUGGCGGUCACGUCGAGCUUCCAUAGCGUAGUAGUAAAACCCUCGUUACUGGUAAUCGUCGCGGCCACGCCGUUAAACCCCAACUUCUGAAUGUUGACCUCGGAUCAGGUAGGAAUACCCGCUGAACUUAAGCAUAUUAAUAAGCGGAGGA
rnacentral:misc_RNA from 1 species